ACGCAUCCAACCCAGACAGCCUUCUUGUCGAGUGUGGAUGUACACACACAUUUUUCUUACCAGAUAAUGCUGCCAGAAGCAAUUGCAGUGGUCUGCUCACCCAAAUAUAAACAAACUGGAAUUUUCACACUGACACCUUUUGGAUUGAACGAAAUAUCAAUCUGCACCCAGAGGGGCUUCCAUCCCCAUAAUCAGGACUCAGCUAUAUUCUGUGACUGCAGUCAUGUCACCUUUCAAAACAGCAGGGUGACCAUCAGGGAUUUGUGAUGAGUAAACCAAA